UACGUAGGGUGCGAGCGUUAAUCGGAUUUACUGGGCGUAAAGGGCGCGUAGGCGGCAGGGCAAGUCUGGUGUGAAAGCCCGGGGCUCAACCCCGGAAGUGCAUUGGAAACUGCUCUGCUUGAGUACCGGAGAGGAAGGGAGAAUUCCCGGUGUAGCGGUGAAAUGCGUAGAUAUCGGGAGGAAUACCAGUGGCGAAGGCGGCUUCCUGGCCUGUUACUGACGCUGAGAUGCGAAAGCGUGGGGAGCGAACGGG
rnacentral:rRNA from 1 species